AGUAAUGCAUAGGAAUCUGCCUUAUAGUGGGGGAUAACCCGGGGAAACUCGGGCUAAUACCGCAUAAUCUCUACGGAGCAAAGUGGGGGACCGUAAGGCCUCACGCUAAAAGAUGAGCCUAUGUUGGAUUAGCUAGUUGGUAGGGUAAAGGCCUACCAAGGCAACGAUCCAUAGCUGGUCUGAGAGGAUGAUCAGCCACACUGGGACUGAGACACGGCCCAG
rnacentral:rRNA from 1 species